rnacentral:lncRNA from 1 species
AGCCCCCUCUGUUCUCUAUCAUGUUCCAAACACAUGCACUAUAAUUUUUCUUCAUAGGAGAGUCAAGAGGAAAGAUGCUGGACUCACAUCUAUCAAGUGGAGGGAAACAUACAGCUGAGGAUGGUUAACGUGAACAUGAGAUGUGUUUGCGUCUGAAGACUGCAGCCCAAGACGCCCAUAGGAAGCCUCCAUCCUGGUGCCCGCUGGGCUGUGAGUUUGCCCCUCUGGCUAUGAGCUCGGCGUCCCCACCAGACACUUCCUUUUCUACCAGGAUCCAGCUGCUCGCCAGUCCCUCCCCCACCCCACUUUGUUAGAAGCAGCUGUUUUUCCCCUUCCAGUCCUCCAAGUGCUGAUUUCAUUUCUUUCCCGACAGAAGUUUGGAGCCAGGAGGGAAAUGGUUUGGCAGGAAGUCAACGAGCCAUGGGAGGAAGACGACAGAGUGGAGAAAGCAGACGUCUCACAGAGGGGCUGGGCCGAGGGGGUCUGAGUGGGCAGACUGGACAGGGCUCCAAAGACCCCCAGAAGUCCCUGCAAGUCCCUGGAGUCCAGGAAGCAACCACCUUUCCACACGGAAGCGGACACCGUGUCACCUGCCUGGCCAUUGACAGCAGUGUUAAUGGCACCCCUGAUGGCUGCUCAGGAGCGGGGACCUUGGUGGAGCUCCUAUGGUGACAUAGGACAGG